CUCCCACUAUUUGGGAGGCUAAGGCAGGAGAAGGGCGUAAACCUGGGAGGAGGAGCUUGCAGUGAGAUCCCGCCACUGCACUCCAACCUGGGGACAGAGCAAGACUCUGUCUCCAAAAAAAAAAAAAAAAAAAAAAAAAGUAACACCUGAAAAAACUCCUAAAUUCACUCUGAGAAAAUAAAAGAUGAAUGAGAAUUUUCAACAAAUAAAAUAUAUAAUUAGAUAUUGUUUUUUGAAAUUCACCUUUUUUUAUGCCCUUUGUAAAUAUUUUCUUACCUUUCAAGCCCUACUAAUAAAAUGCAAUUUACAGUUAAAAAACUGAGGUCAGCCGGGCACAGGGGCUCACACCUGCAAUCCCAGCACUUUGGGAGGCCAAGGCAGGCAGAUUACUUGAGGUCAGAAUUUUGAGCUCAAACAGCACGGUAAACAUGGCAAACCCCCAUCUCUAUUAAAAAUACAAAAAGUAGCCAGGUGUGGUGGCAGGCACCUGUAGUCCCAGCUACUUGGGAGGCUGAGGCAUAAGAAUCACUUGAACUCGUGAUGCAGAGGUUUCAGUGAGCCGAGAUUGCACCACUGCAGUCCAGCCUGGGUGACAGAGGAAAGCACUGUCUUAAAAAAAAAAAAAAAAAAGGGCCGGGCGCGGUGGCUCACACCUGUAAUCCCACCACUUUGGGAGGCUGAGGCAGCCAGAUCACAAGGUCAGGAGUUCGAGAACAGCCUGGUCAAUAUGGUGAAAUUCCGUCUCUACCACAAAUACAAAAAUUAGCCGGGUGUGGUGGUGCACACCUGUAGUCCCAGCUACUCAGGAGGCUGAGGCAGAAGAAUUGCUUGAACCCGGGAGGCAGAGGUUGCAGUGAGCAGAGAUCAUACCACUGCACUCCAGCCUGGGUGACAGAAUGAGACUCUAUCUCAAAAAAAAAAAAAAGAAAAAAAAAACUGAGGUCAAAAUAAGUGAACAAUGCAUUUAAUCAUUUCAAGGUACAGAUAUGUCUGACUCAUGUGUCAAGUCAG
rnacentral:lncRNA from 1 species